UUUGCGCGAGUACGUGAGGGCGAGGGUGGGUGGCGGUAGCGAAGGGGAAAACACAGACUUUCGAUCUCGCUUCCUUCUCUUUCGCUUUUCUCCGCGUUUUCGCAGGCUCGUUCGCCUUUUCCUGCCCCCGAAGAAGGGUCAGCCACAGGAAGAGCGUGGGGGAGGCGCACGCGCACAGCCUUGUGCGCGUGCACUUCUUUUGGACACCAGCAGUGUUGCCUAUACCACCCUCUCUCUGUUCAGGUGGCCCCCUAACACUCCCCCACCCUUCUCCUUGCUACAGGCCCAUCGGCUGCCGGGCAGCGGAGCAUUCCACGCGUGCAACAAGCGGUUUUACACACACGCACACACACAUCCCCCCUCCUCCCCUUAGGCACAAGAUGCAGACGCCAGCGGCCGCUAACACGAGCGCCAGCCCGGCCCCCGUCCUGAACAACAAGUCAACUGGACGAAGUAUUUCGUACGAGGAAAUCUACAAGGCCGCCAAGUGCAGUGUGCUAACGGACUUCUAUCGCGAGAAGCGCUAUCUUGAUCUGCGCCGCCGCAUCGCAGAGAGAGGCGAGGACGUGCAGCUGAUUCCCGUAGCCUCUGGCGCUGAUGCGACCUCGCCGGCACUGGUGCGGGCGAGCACCUCGCGCCUGCUGAAGGAGCACGGCAGCGCGUCGUGGAGUGCUUCCCUCUACCAGUCCGGCGUAUACGGACUGACAGGCAUUAGCUCGAUUUGCACGGCGAUCGCGCUCUACCUCGGCAUCUAUCAGAAUCGGCUUGUCCUACCCGUUGUUCCCAUGGGGGUUGCGGCGACGUGGCGCCUGUGGGGGGUGCUCGAGGAUGUCUGGAACGAGCAACGCUACAUCGACAACGCGGCGAAGAUGCGGGAGGAGCGGCAAGGCAACCCGCUGAACGCCGUCGUGAAGCGACGUCGCAAGCUGGACGCGACUGCAAAGGAAGGGUCACCCGCCGCAGAAUUGAUGGAGUAGAACAGCAGCAGCCGGGACAGGGGGCUGCUGGGGAGAGACAUUUGCGGACUUGUGUGUGUGGCUCUUGUUGUUGUCUCACAUCGAUUCUGAAUGUCUGCGUAGCUGCGUGUGCCCUCCUUGUCGGUCAUGUGUGCGCGCCUUCAGGCACAGAGGCGCGUGCUUUUCCAUCUGCGCCUCCCUGGGGCCAGAGCAAGAGCGCGUGUCAUUCGCUUACACACCUAUAUAUACCUAUAACGAAACGGAUAGUCAUGCGCACCGAUUGGCCAUCCAUUCGCUGCCUCCUCAUCUGUUUUUUUUUUUUUUUGUGUGUGUGUGUGGCGUUGUGGCGGCAAGGCUGUACCCCGAGCAUGUCAUGUGCUCCUUCCGCCACCACCAUCACCAAGACGGAACGCCUGCGCCGGCGUGUUAUGGUUUCGGCACCCCGUCCCCCCGUGUCGGCUGACCUGAGCGUAGAUUAGGGGGUGCUCAGAUGCGUCCCACACACUUUGUCGAUCAUUCUCACUCUCUCUCUCUUCUUCUGCUUCUGCUUCUCUCUCCAUGCGUGCACACAUAUGUGCGUGCGUGUGUGCGUGCGUGUGGCCCCGUGCACGUAAUGUUGGUGGGUGGUGGUGGUUAG
rnacentral:misc_RNA from 1 species